GACGAACGCUGGCGGCGUGCUUAACACAUGCAAGUCGAACGGAAAGGCCCUGCUUUUGUGGGGUGCUCGAGUGGCGAACGGGUGAGUAACACGUGAGUAACCUGCCCUUGACUUUGGGAUAACUUCAGGAAACUGGGGCUAAUACCGGAUAGGAGCUCCUGCUGCAUGGUGGGGGUUGGAAAGUUUCGGCGGUUGGGGAUGGACUCGCGGCUUAUCAGCUUGUUGGUGGGGUAGUGGCUUACCAAGGCUUUGACGGGUAGCCGGCCUGAGAGGGUGACCGGCCACAUUGGGACUGAGAUACGGCCCAGACUCCUACGGGAGGCAGCAGUGGGGAAUAUUGCACAAUGGGCGGAAGCCUGAUGCAGCAACGCCUCGUGCGGGAUGACGGCCUUCGGGUUGUAAACCGCUUUCGCCUGUGACGAAGCGUGAGUGACGGUAAUGGGUAAAGAAGCACCGGCUAACUAUGUG
rnacentral:rRNA from 1 species